CGCGCACACCGCCCGCCUGCACGGCAUCCCGGAAGAAAAUAUGACUGUAACAGAAGAUUUUAGUAGAGUAGAAAAUACUUACCAAAUGGAAGCAGAGCUCCUUGAACUGGGAGCAAAUGCAAGAUCUGCUUAGGCCACAGUUGCAGAGCACCUGGAUUUUGGUCUGUUCUGUACAACUCUGCCAUCAGCUUGCUCUAAGUAAAGUAAAGGUCUGUAUCAUAUUCAGUGAUUUUGGAAAAAUGCAGAAUGUUUGCAAUCUACUCAUUGAAAAGUUAGGAACCUCUGUUACCAUCAAUCCACCUCAUUUCUACCAUACACCAGAAGCCAUAGACUCACUUCGGCCCAAUGAUGAUCUGCUACCACCCUUUUUCCUUCACAAGUGACAAUGAAACUCCAAGAGAAGAAGAGACAAGUUCAGAACAUAAUGCUACCUCCAACAACCACGGUCCCUGGAAAGAGCUAAGGCGGCUUCUUUGUGUGUAUAUACAUGAAUCUUCCAACAAAGAAGUACCUAUGAAAACAAAUCCUGGGCCAGGGAAUAUGGGCCAUGAUAUUCGCUGCUGUUCAUAAACAUUCCUGCCCAAAGUAACCCACAAUCUAAACACAAAAAAGUGAUGGAUGAAUACAGAUGGAGUUUAUGAAGCAAUCAGUAUCGAUCAAUGAACAGGCAGUGGCCUCUGCUCAGUGAUUUCAUGAAGAUCUGGAAGUCAGAGGAAGGCUAGGAAAAGUUGGGCUGAAAACCCAGCCGAUGUUUUGAGGGAUUUACAAGGACCAAGUUCAGUAAGCUGCAGCCUAAAAGUCAGAAGGCAUUUUGCUAAGUGCUUGUGACAUGAUAGGCAAAGGCAAUUAAACCUCAAAACCAGCAAAAGACGCUUGCCAUUGCUCUUGAAAUUAAAAACAAUAAAAAUGAACACAAGGCUGUGACAGCAGAACAGUAUAAGGUACAUAAAAAGAAUCAAUGUCUGCUGAGAAAUUCUUGGGGGUUCAGCUGGUGAUAACAGUACUGAGGGGAGGAAAGAAAGCAAGGAUGCAGGUGUUUUAGAAGCCAAAGAUGAGGGACAGUUGGAUAAAACUACAUCAGGGAAGGAACCAAAUGCACAAAAUGGGACAAUGUCAGUUCCCAGCUGAACAUGAAUUUUCUGCUAUAGGCGAAGAUUUUCAUGUUUUCCUCAUUUUCACUCCUCUGACUUAAAAAUUAGUGUCUUCCUGCCACUUAAGCAGCAUGUCAGUGGCAUGCAGAGUAUGCAGCACUGCAUUACCAGUUUAGCACUGUCAACAAAGGUUUAGCAUCAGAUUUUCAAAUACAAGGACUUAAGCAAAAGAAAUUUAAAGGCUUCAAGAAUUCUAACAAAAAUGUGUUUUUAAAUAGAUUUACACUCCAAGUAACCAGAUCCUCAAAAACAUUGCUUUUUCACUGAAACUGAUUAAACACAGAGGAUUACUUGCAUUUCUUAAGUGCAGUGAAGAUUCCACCAAUUAUGGAUAACCAGAUAAAGGACUUAACAGCUUCUCAAUUUUAGUGACAUGGCAGGAGAAAUCCAUUCAGACAUCAUAGGUUGACACUGUUAUUUCAAAUAAAACACUGUGUAUAAAAAGUGAGUAGUUAUAAUUUGAGAUAUGUCCAGUGCCCUGACCAGCAAAGCUUAGCCACUCAGUGGUGUAAAAGCCAAGCUAUACUGGGACCACAGUGCAGAAGCAGCAAAGGUACCACUCAGCUGCACAGGUGAUGCAGAACUCUGGAGUAUUUCCCACUAGGAUGGCAGGAAGUUGGUCUGCAACAGUGUUUCUGAGGGUAUUUUAACCUGAGUUAUUCUGUGUAUAUAUUAAUAAAGCAAGAGUUUAGUACAUUCAGACCUGUUUCACUGGAGGAUAUCUGGGUUGUAGUUGUUCUUCUGGAGUGUUAGCUUUUACAUCCCAUCCAACAAUGACUCCUGAGUAGCCAAAUCUUCUGUGAAUUAUUACCUGGCCCACACAGAAUUUAAUAUAUUCAGGCUUUGGACUGUGAGCAUGAGCUGAUUCUAAUUUAACAAAGAAAGAGACUUAGCAAAGAUAAAAGUUUGGUCAGCUAUAUUAAGUAUUUUAACAGAAAUUAUUCUGACUUCUACAUGAAGAGAACUGAUAAUUAGAUGAAUAGGGGAAUUAAAGAAGAACAGGUGCUUUGUUUGUUUCCCCCCAGAAUAUUAAUUACUAUAAUUUACAAAGGAACAUCCACUAAGAAACUUUUCUAUUUGUAUGCAUUUGAUAUUACAUAGGGAUUUUAACAGAGUUUUAGAAAGCAUUAACAUGUGUGUGCAUUGACAGUUACUUAAGCCUUACAUACAGUAUUUUACGGUGCUGACUUGUGGUAACUUAUUGUGACAUUAUUUUUUGCCAGUUUAGGUCACAGAAUUCUUCUAUUCAGUCUGAUUAGGGACUUUUUUCCAGGAAUAAAGUGGUCAUCUAUUUCUUUUUUCUUCCUUCAAAAUACAUACACUGAGGUAUUCAGUAAAAUACAUACAUAUAGUUACAUCAUAUUGAUACUAUUACACAACACAGGGAAGAGGCCUUGGAUUUUAUGUUUACUGAAUAUUAUCAAUCAUGUUUAGAGACACGAAAAAAGGAAAACAGUAUGCCAUUUACAAAUUAAGUAAAAAAAUCCACUAUAGAAGCCUUGUAGACAACAUCAUAAAUAAAUUAUGAAAUUGCAAAAACUUCAAUACCUGCAAGAUAAGAACGGGGUUUUACUUCAUUGGCACCGCUUUUAGCUUUGUUCUCUCCAUAGUACCAAUUCCUAAAAUGUAAAAUUAAUAACUCAACAUACAAACAAGUUCUUUAGAAGCUGAGUUUUAAUAAUAAUCAGAAGGUUAAUUAUCCUGAGUGGGAUACUGCAAAGCCUUUGAUACAAACUUCUUUACAAUUUGAAGCCUGCAUGAAUUUUACAUAAAAACACUUUUAAGGAAUACACAAGAAAAAGGAAUUUGUUCCAACAGGAAAAAAAGAGUAUGAAUCUCAUUUCUUUGAAUAUGUUACUCUACAGUUGCAUUAGAAUUUUUAUAUCAGAGGAAACUCACUAAUUUUAUAGAGGUGAGCAAACACUGCUCUGCAGUGUGAUUCUUUAGUAUCUUUUGUGAAGUUUUUUAAAAUUGGUUUAUACUGGUAUGGACAAGGUGUCUGGCAAUGAGUCCCUGCCUAAGGCUGCAGUAAGUGUAGCUUUUCCUUCUGCGCUAGACUGAAUUUCAUCUGAAUGUAAAAGGUGGGCAGCAGGAGAUGGACAUGUUUAGAAAGGGGAAAUGGCUAACAUUUUUCAUUGCUAUAGUGAAAAAGAGAAAGUGUAAAAAAACAAUGAGAAUAUGGAACAUUUCCUUCUGCUGGCAAUGUAACAGCAGCAGUCUAUGAACAGAGGAGUUUGGGUAACAUUCUGCAUCCAUACCAGCCAGCAAACCAUUGGUGCCAAAGAACCACAGGUUGGCCUAGUCUCCCUCCUCUUUGAUGGUGCCUUUCAGUCUUACUCCCUUCACCCUGCUUGCAGGAAAAUGAGAGCAGGUUCCUGUGCAAACAAUGUUUUUUACAAAAGUUUUGGUUUAGCUCAAAUGUAUAAAAAGACUUAAGGCUGACAAGUACCUCUUAACAGAAAGAGGAAUGGGCAAAGUUUAAACAGCAGCUAAUACAGAAGGUCUCAAAUGACAUUAUUUUUAGAAUAACCAAUUCUUUAUAAAAUAUUCAGAAGACACAGACAAUAUACACAAAAUAUAUACAAAUAAUCCAACUAUAUACAAAUAAUCAAUGGAUUAUUUGAUCUUUGCAGGCUUUAUUUUAGAUAUGCAUGGAGCUUUCCAUGAAGUUGAGAAGCAAUUUAUGGUGAACCUUAGAAGAGCAUAGUUUUUCUUUCCAUUCACAGACCAUUCCCCUAGCUUUUGCUGGAAGCAAAACUAAGUCAGGAUACUCCACAGUUCAGAAGACUUGGCACCACUGAUUACUAUACAUGGAUCAAGAAUAAAGGACCUUUGAAGGUCCAUACAGAGUAAAACCUUUGGAGUAUUUCUACUGUACAUGAAUUAAAUCUCCCAAAUAAGGCCGUCAACAAACCGAAAUAAGUCCAUGAAGUCUUCUUAAAUUAAAAUGGUGUGUAUGUAUGAAUGGAUAGAAUUUUACUUUUUCUAGACCAAUCACUGUUAUAUGACCAAUAAUCAAAAUUUCACUACUUAGCACACAGAUUUUCUGUCUGUGAUUCCUAAUUCAGAUUUUGAAUUUGAACUACAAUAUAAAGCAUAAAAUAUCCAUCCAAUGCUAAAGCAUCUGAUGUGGCUAAUUGUUCUGCCUUCAGAGUCAGAUAAAUUUGAGGAUAACAUGUACAGAAUUACUGCAUGAGUUACGUUUAGUUUCACAUGGAGUUCAGUUUUGAUGUUUGUGUAGAAAGUUCCAGAUGAGUCUCAGAAGCAAAUGAGAGAUAUUUCCCCUUUGUCACUUACUUCCCCCAUAGCACACCUUCCUGCUCAGAGCAGACCAUGGCUGAAAUCUCCUUGGUGCAGACAGUAACACCCUACCUUGUCUUUGAGAGCCACAGCUUUAAACGAUCUGCCCACGCAUCCAGACUCAAGUAAGAUCUUGUUGAGAUGCUCCAAGAGGCAAUUAUCCUUUAGGAGUAAAAAUGGUCAUCACAUUGUUUUUAAAACCUUCUCUAGUAUUCUUAUAUAGAUUUUUAACAUUUAAGCUUUGAAGUUUCACUUCUGUAGCAAAGAGAAAGAAGGGGUCAGUGACCAUGAACAGUUUCUCCUCAGGAUUAAUAUCAACAUUGAAAAUGAAUAUUCUUUCAGUCAUCACUUGUACCAGUAAACCAUAUGUAAAUUUUGGAAAAUACCAUUUUUCAUUACAAGAUUGCUUUCUUCCUGUACUUGGACCAUAGGAAUUGUUGAAAUACAUUCAGAUUCUGCAGUUUCAACUGUUAUUCAAGAAUAGAGAGCAUGAGAUAUUUUUUAAAUGGUGUACACAAUCAAAAUAAUAUUAAAAAAGUCUUCAGGUUUUUGCAUAAAUCUAAAUAACAAGUGGUUGACUCAUUCCAUGAGGCUUGAAGAUUAUUUCACUCUGGGUCUUUAUGCAUAAGCCAAGCUUAGUUCUCUUUUCAUCAGACCAAUCUUUUGCUCUUCCUGCUUCAUGCACUGGAAUUCCACAGAUGCACCACACAGCCAGCACACUGCACAGGCCACAUGUACAACUGAGUCUCUCUUUGCAUGGUUCAUUUCAAGAUGCCAGUGUUUGCCAAUGGACACCACUAUCAAAAAUUUGGAUCUGAUAUAACAGUCUCCACUUUUUCUUUGGAGAUAUGUGUGGGAUUCUAUCAAUACACAACUUCUUAAUUCAUAGACAAAAUGGCACUUCUUACUUAGCUCUUAUCAUUGUCCCUGCCUUAGGUAAUUUACUGUGAGUGAAUUUUGUUGGUUAAGAAUCUGUACUGAGUUGUACUAUGCAAGAAAGUAUUUUAUAACAGUAAAUGUCAAAAGGUGAUGGAAAAUCAGAACUAAUGGUACUUAAGCAAGCACUUAAUUUUCAUCUUUUGAAAGGGACAUAACCCUUAGUAACGUACAUUGGAAUGUCACAAACAAGAAUGAGGUUAAGGCACUCAUGCAGAUUAGUAAGAUUUUUAUGUGAAGAAAUCAACAAUUGCUGUUUGAAUUUUGAAACUAAACACAAUCAUAUUAAGCCACAAAAAUGCCUGAGGUGUGAUUUAAAUGUUGGUUUUGUAUAGGAAUAGCCAAUCCACCCACACUUCAGCUUUCCAGGACAAAGUGUCAUUGGGGAUGAGGGAGAGAACUCUCUUACAAAUAAACACAGUAGGGAAGGGCAGUCUUACAACCUUCCUGUUAUUUGGAUGCGCUCGGCAGAGUCCGUUCCGUACCACUGAGAUAUGAAAUACUGUGCAGGAAGAGCAAAGAGCAGCAUGGAAAUCUGCAGAGCUGCAGCUGCAUUGAUGUGAGGCAUUCCAACGGGAACUUUUGGCAAAGACACUUCACUGCUCCCUGCUCUGAAAAGAGGAAGAGAAAAAUUUUUAAAAGAGAUGAAAUAAGUAGCUGCAAGCUUUGCUAGAUGUGUCAAACUUAACAGUUUCCUUCAGGUUGCUUUGCUGGUUCACAACAUUAUGUACAAUCUGUACUCAGGCAUUUUGGCUACAGCUGGAGCACACUUAAUUUAGGCCACUUUAACUCCAUUAAAUUUCAUGGUACUUACAAAAGCUAAUAGAAGGCUAAAGUACACAAGACAGAAAAACCUGCUUUUAAGAUUUAUACAGGCAACUCUUUUGUCUGUAAACAGAGAGGGGGGGAAAAAGAAAAGAGGAACUGGGAAUUUGUAUGGUUGUCCAAUUUGCAGUAAAAAGCUGCUGUCCGUGAACCAAAUUAUUUGUGCUGCUUUGUCAUCUGAUUGAGUGCAUUAAACAUGUCUGGCAUACCAGAUUGAUGGCCUCAAAAUUAA